GUGUCAGCAGCCGCGGUAAGACGAAGGUGGCUAGCGUUGCUCGGAAUUACUGGGCAUAAAGCGCGCGUAGGUGGUCCUGUAAGCGGGGGAUGAAAGCCCAUGGCUCACCCAUGGAACUGUCCUUCGGACUGCAGGGCUGGAGGGCGGGAGGGGAGAAUGGAAUUCCCGGUGUAGCGGUGAAAUGCGUAGAUAUCGGGAGGAACGCCGGUGGCGAAAGCGAUUCUCUGGCCCGUUCCUGACACUGAGGCGCGAAAGCUAGGGGAGCAAACAGGAUUAGAUACCCUCGUAGUCC
rnacentral:rRNA from 1 species